UUAGGUUUGAAUCCUAGGGUUCUAAUUAGGGUUCUUAGGUUUGAUUUUUUCUAGGUUUGGAUGAAUGUUCAUGAAGAACAUUCAUCAGUUUCUCGUACUUCACAGCGGGGUUAGGGCGGUUGGGAUGGUGGUGCGGAGUAUUAUGGUAGUGGUGUGGUGGAUAUUGUAGAAAGGGAUAGCAGAGAGAGUACAGAGUAGAGAGAGAAUAUGGGUUAAGAAAUGAAAUUUUUUCUAAAGAAAAACCAAUUAUAUAGUCC
rnacentral:lncRNA from 1 species